rnacentral:rRNA from 1 species
AGCGAACGCUGGCGGCAGGCCUAACACAUGCAAGUCGAACGAACUCUUCGGAGUUAGUGGCGGACGGGUGAGUAACACGUGGGAACGUGCCUUUAGGUUCGGAAUAACUCAGGGAAACUUGUGCUAAUACCGAAUGUGCCCUUCGGGGGAAAGAUUUAUCGCCUUUAGAGCGGCCCGCGUCUGAUUAGCUAGUUGGUGAGGUAAAGGCUCACCAAGGCGACGAUCAGUAGCUGGUCUGAGAGGAUGAUCAGCCACAUUGGGACGGGGACACGGCCUAAACUCCUACGGGAGGGAGCAGUGGGGAAUCUUGCGCAAUGGGCGAAAGCCUGACGCAGCCAUGCCGCGUGAAUGAUGAAGGUCUUAGGAUUGUAAAAUUCUUUCACCGGGGACGAUAGUGACGGUACCCGGAGAAGAAGCCCCGGCUAACUUCGUGCCAGCCGCCGCAGUAA